AAAUCCUUUUCUUUCAGGGGCAACUGGACCUGUUCAGGUGAUCAUUACAGAGAGCACCAAUCAGCCAAAUUCCCACCCCAUCCAGUGGAAUGCACCAGAACCCUCUCAUAUCACCAAGUACAUUCUGCGCUGGAGACCGAAAAACACUGGAAAGCACUGGAAGGAAGCCACCAUCCCAGGUCACCUGAACUCCUACACCAUCUCAGGCCUGAAGCCUGGUGUGAUAUAUGAGGGGCAGCUCAUCAGUGUCCAGCAGUAUGGCCACAAAGAAGUCACUCGCUUUGAUUUUACCACAACCAGCACCACAGCAGUGACAAGCAACACCGUUUCAGGAGAAACAACUCUCCUUCCUCCUGUGGUUGCUACUUCAGAGUCGGUCACUGAAAUCACAGCCAGCAGCUUCGUUGUCUCCUGGGUUUCUGCUUCCGACACCGUUUCUGGAUUCCGUGUUGAAUAUGAGCUGAGCGAGGAGGGCGAUGAGCCGCAGUAUCUUGGUGAGACAUUGCUUGAG